GGCGAAAUCAAGCCUUUUUCACGAUUUGCAGUCGACAAAUUUGGAGAAGCAGGAAUCGGAAAAUUAUUUAAGCCAGAGUAAAUUAAUUUUGCAUAAAUUGUACGACUUAAGAUUGAGCCAUUUCGAGGGGCGAGACACAAGCUCAAUUGAUUAAAAAUAAUCGUUUAGUUGAUUAGAAUUUUCAAUUAGUUGAUUAGGAUUCUCGCUAAUCAAUUAGCGUAUUCUUACCACGGGGUGGUCACUAUACAUAUAUAGCAUAUUUCGCAUGUAUUUACUACGGUAAAUCCGUAUGUGCAUCCAUAUUCACGAGAUAGAAAAAAACACGAAAUUCUACUUUACGAUUUAUUUCAGUGGUGCAGGUUGUCAGUUGUCGUCGUCGCGCGCUGCAUAUUGUUUACAAACAAGAAAAAAGGAAAACGCACACGAAAAGUAGCGAUUGCGUUCCCGGUCCUGCUACAGACGGCGUUCAAGACAGCGCACCCGGUUCCAUCACCGCCACUAGCAUUCCAAGGAACCGGCAAACAAAACCGGGACCGAGUUCUUUAUCAAGUAUCAAGCUGGUUCGCAGUCCCAACAGACGGAAGCCACAAACACUUUUCGGUAAAAUUAAGAUGCACCCCAGGAAAAUUUCCUGUAGCCGGAGUUGAACCUGCUUGAGUGGAUUCCGGAACAGUGGCCCAGAAAUGGUUCUUCGAUAAGCAAGUGACUGUCGGAUACAACCUAUCUAUGGAAUGGGAGCUGCCACGGAACGGGACGUGUGGGGCCAAGGAACGAACAGGAAUCUUUACUAAAGUAGAUCCAGACCAAGGAAGAGUCAAUUUUGUCGCAAGAGCUUUCUUUGACCGGGCGGAUGAUUUAGGGUUUGCUAAGGUGACAACAACGGUCAAGAAGUUCGAUCCAGCCUCGAUGCGCCGCGGAAACCAACCUGCAGGGAACAUUUCGUCACCAGGUAGACUACGACUUAGUUUCAACGACGUUACAGUAGUCCCUGGUGCUGCUCGUGCAAGCAUUAUCAACCGCCGGGACGCUAUCUACGCAGCCGCCGCCAGCUAAGGAACAGCGCUCCCUGUCGCUGAUGGCCCGCUUCUUGUCAAUGCUGAUCAAGCACCGGCGGCAAGACGUUAGCGACCAAGCCAUGAAGAAGGCGGAUGCUGGAAAAAAUGGAUCGGGUCUGGGCCGGUGAAUACGUCGUCAUAAGCAUCGCGAGAAGAACGAGCUAAGUACUGUGCGAAGUACUCGUACAUUCUGACCCUAGUGAUGACCCCUGUGGCAAUUUAAUUCAAUUUAACAUGUAUUAAUCAGUACCAAAUAAAAAGGCUGGUCAGGGUGUUUUUUUUUGCUUGGAGAGUCCAACUUUUUUCGCUACGCCUCCAAUCGACGGCACCUUUUUUGUCGGUGAACAGGUUAUGGCGAAAACGAUAAGACAUCAGCAUUCGCUUUAGAAAAAUUAGUCCCCAGGUUGAUGUUCUGCAACUUGAUAAUCGCGAGGCGGACAUGAUCUGACGGUUGUGCACGGAUAACGUAACCGACAAUACAAGAGUGCCAAGUCCCACAGACGCAGGGCCUUGUCCCAAGAGCCGGACAGGGCGUAGUUACCGCAAGAGCACUACGUCGCUGAUGAUGUGCGAAAGACCGUACAAGCGCUUCUGCGAUACUUUAGUCGGGGUCGUCCCGGGUAAGCUUCCACACGAUCAGCGGGGAUGCUAGGUGCUACUUCGUGGGGGGAGGGGUUUUUCCGGUUUUAUAGGUGUCGAACACAGCAUGCCAAUUUUUUACCGUACAUAACUGGAUCAACGACAACCCAGUUCCAUCACUAGGUAAACGACACCUUCGCCUUUGCCGCUCUAUUCAGCAGGUGUUGUUUGACCAAAAAUGAUUUGGCCAAAUUCCUCAGCUUCCGGCUCCAGUCCGGGUAGUUCUAGUAUUUCUAGUUCCAUCCGAAUCUUCUUCAAAUACAAAACUAAUCUAGGUGACAGUUGCCAAUGACGUUUAGAAACGUCACAGCCCACACUGAUCGAAAUUUUCUCUCAAAUCUUUAAGUUCAUCCUCGUGAAUCCGUAUUUACCAUU